rnacentral:rRNA from 1 species
AUUGAACGCUGGCGGAAUGCUUUACACAUGCAAGUCGAACGGCAGCACGGACUUCGGUUUGGUGGCGAAUGGCGAACGGGUGAGUAAUGUAUCGGAACGUGCCCAGUCGUGGGGGAUAACGUAGUGAAAAUUACGCUAAUACCGCAUACGAUCUAUGGAUGAAAGCGGGGGAUCGCAAGACCUCGCGCGAUUGGAGCGGCCGAUAUCAGAUUAGGUAGUUGGUGGGGUAAAGGCCCACCAAGCCAACGAUCUGUAGCUGGUCUGAGAGGACGACCAGCCACACUGGAACUGAGACACGGUCCAGACUCCUACGGGAGGCAGCAGUGGGGAAUUUUGGACAAUGGGCGAAAGCCUGAUCCAGCCAUUCCGCGUGCAGGAUGAAGGCCCUCGGGUUGUAAACUGCUUUUGUACAGAACGAAAAGGUUUCUACUAGUACUAGGAGCUCAUGACGGUACUGUAAGAAUAAGCACCGGCUAACUACGUGCCAGCAGCCGCGGUAA